rnacentral:rRNA from 2 species
UACGAAGGGGGCUAGCGUUGUUCGGAAUCACUGGGCGUAAAGCGCACGUAGGCGGAUCUUUAAGUCAGGGGUGAAAUCCCGAGGCUCAACCUCGGAACUGCCUUUGAUACUGGAGGUCUCGAGUCCGGGAGAGGUGAGUGGAACUGCGAGUGUAGAGGUGAAAUUCGUAGAUAUUCGCAAGAACACCAGUGGCGAAGGCGGCUCACUGGCCCGGAACUGACGCUGAGGUGCGAAAGCGUGGGGAGCAAACAGG